rnacentral:rRNA from 1 species
UCCGUAGGCGGACUUAUAAGUCAGUGGUGAAAGCCUGUCGCUUAACGAUAGAACUGCCAUUGAUACUGUAAGUCUUGAGUAUAAUUGAGGUAGCUGGAAUAAGUAGUGUAGCGGUGAAAUGCAUAGAUAUUACUUAGAACACCAAUUGCGAAGGCAGGUUACCAAGUUAUAACUGACGCUGAGGGACGAAAGCGUGGGGAGCGAACAGGAUUAGAUACCCCUGUA